GAAGGGAAUGAAGGUGAUAUGAAGUUAAUGGAGGGAAUGAAGGUGAUAUGAAGUUAAUGGAGGGAAUGAAGGUGAUAUGAAGUUAAUGAAGGGAAUGAAGGUGAUAUGAAGUUAAUGGAGGGAAUGAAGGUGAUAUGAAGUUAAUGAAGGGAAUGAAGGUGAUAUGAAGUUAAUGAAGGGAAUGAAGGUGAUAUGAAGUUAAUGGAGGGAAUGAAGGUGAUAUGAAGUUAAUGGAGGGAAUGAAGGUGAUAUGAAGUUAAUGGAGGGAAUGAAGGUGAUAUGAAGUUAAUGAAGGGAAUGAAGGUGAUAUGAAGUUAAUGAAGGGAAUGAAGGUGAUAUGAAGUUAAUGAAGGGAAUGAAGGUGAUAUGAAGUUAAUGAAGGGAAUGAAGGUGAUAUGAAGUUAAUGAAGGGAAUGAAGGUGAUAUGAAGUUAAUGAAGGGAAUGAAGGUGAUAUGAAGUUAAUGAAGGGAAUGAAGGUGAUACGAAAUUAAGGAAGGGAAUAAAUGUGUAACGAAACGAAAUUUAUGUAGGCAAUGAGGGAGUUAAGGAAUCUAUGCGCCGGCCAGUUCCAGGGGAGGGAGGUGGGGUGGGGUGGGUGGGAGAGGCAGGGAAUGAGUAUUGUAAGAUAAGAAAAUAAUAUCACUGCAAUGUAUUUACCGCAAGUAUUAUGUUAGUAGUAAAGAGAACAAAGGUGCUGUAAUGGACCGCACUCUCAGACACUUUCGGCUCUCACAAGAAACUGGGUGGCGGUGGUCGAGUGGUCAGAGUGCGGACCUGGUGAGCCCGGGGGCCUAGAUUCGAGUCCCACCGAUGCACGUUGACAUUUUUCAACCAUCGCCGAGUGGCGGAAUAAUACCCACAUGCUGCCCAGAUCUUCAAUCAACCCUUACUUCGGCGACCUCGGAUAAGAGGAGCACCGAGGGGCAGCUUGGGCCAAGAAAAUCAUACAUCACGGCAGCCACUUGAAAUAAAA